UUUUGGACAAUGGGCGCAAGCCUGAUCCAGCCAUGCCGCGUGAGUGAAGAAGGCCUUCGGGUUGUAAAGCUCUUUCGGCGGGGACGAAACGGUUCGUGCUAAUACCACGGACUACUGACGGUACCCGCAGAAGAAGCACCGGCUAACUACGUGCCAGCAGCCGCGGUAAUACGUAGGGUGCAGGCGUUAAUCGGAAUUACUGGGCGUAAAGCGUGCGCAGGCUGUUUUGUAAGUCAGAUGUGAAAUCCCUGAGCUCAACUUAGGAACUGCGUUUGAAACUACAAGACUAGAAUAUGUCAGAGGGGGGUAGAAUUCCACGUGUAGCAGUGAAAUGCGUAGAGAUGUGGAGGAAUACCAAUGGCGAAGGCAGCCCCCUGGGAUAAUAUUGACGCUCAUGCACGAA
rnacentral:rRNA from 1 species